rnacentral:lncRNA from 1 species
AUUGACAUCAAAUUUAUUGAGAAAACUAAAACUUUAAAACAGACUAAAAUGUUAAAACCCCAAUUAAAAAAGAGUUAUAUGAACUAUUAUCAAACUCUUAUUGAUGAUAAAAUAAAUAUCUUAAACGAAAAUAAUAUAAUAUAUCUAUAUAAAUUUCUUAAAUCUAAUAUUAAUAACCAAAUGAAAUACUACCUAUCGCACCCAAGUAAAGAAACAAGAAAAAUGUUAACCAAAUUUAGAAUAAGCGAUCAUUGUCUCUUAAUAGAAACUGGACGAUAUACCAAAAUGCCACGA